AAAAACCUAUCUUUGUGUACAUCUUCUUGAUUUUCUAGUAAUUGAAACUCCACCCCAUCUCAUUUUUUUCUGUUAGAAUUGCUUCUCAGACCCAAGACUCCACUUGUGACUUGGCUUGAAAGUAUCUUGCAAGGGACUUGAAACUCAACUUUACUUGAGUCUUGGUAAAAGACUUGAUUACAUCACUACCAUAUCCCAUACAUCCAGAGAGAGCUGCUAAAUUCAAAAUCAUCACAAAGUGGAAGAGGCCUAAAUAAAUACAGCCUGCAAAAAUGCAAAAGAAGCCAAGAAGAAGAUGCCUCAACAAUGCUAGAAGAUGGCAGUUCUGUGAAGCCUUCAUCAGUGCCACAACCUUCAAUCUAUUCCCCUUCCCCUGUAAAUCUGAGGAGGCCCUGUAAAGUAUAUGAAGGAUUUUGCAAGAUGUACCUGUAAAAAGAGACUGGACUGGAUGGCCCUUUGAGUCUCUUCUGACACUAUGAUUCUGGGAUUCACACUUCACCAUCCCUGUUUGCUCAAAAAAAGAAGAAAAGAAAUACCAGGAGACUCUGCACUUUUCCUACACUUUUCCUACUUUCAACCUAACACUUGUGAAAGGAACUGUAGUCAAGACAUCAGAAGAAGAGCAGGACUUGGAAUGCCAGUUAUGAAGAAAUGAAACAAGAUCAACAAGUGCAAAGAUAUAUCAUUACAUAUCAAAGUAAGAAUCAUCUGCACCAUAGGAUUUCCAAGUUCUAUAUGUGGAUGUGAAAGCUGAACAGUAAGGCUCACAAGAAGAGAACUCACUAUUUGAAAUGUGCUGCUGGAGAAGAAUUCUAUGGUUACCUGGAUUGCCAAAAUGACAAAUGAAGAGAUGACAUUUGAACUUUCCCUAGAAGCCAAGAUAAUUAAACUGAAGCUAUUAUACUUUGUACAUAUUAUGGAUGACAUGAUACAUUGGAAAAAAGACAGUACAUCAGGGAGAAGAAGCACCACCACCACUCUUCCAGAGAAGAGAAGGCUGUAGCUGUUCCCAUCAUCCAUCUCCUGUGGCAUCUCUUCUCUGAGAACUGCUGCCUGCUGAGAAGACCAGCUACAUACUUCCAGGAGCAGACUCCCCAGGUAUUGAGCCAGCAGCUGGUGAACCUGCAUUGCCACCACUUGCUCUCCUAUCUGA